rnacentral:rRNA from 1 species
GACGAACGCUGGCGGCGUGCCUAAUACAUGCAAGUUGAGCGAUGAAGAUUGGUGCUUGCACCAAUUUGAAGAGCAGCGAACGGGUGAGUAACGCGUGGGGCAUCUGCCUUUGAGCGGGGGACAACAUUUGGAAACGAAUGCUAAUACCGCAUAACAACUUUAAACAUAAGUUUUAAGUUUGAAAGAUGCAAUUGCAUCACUCAAAGAUGAUCCCGCGUUGUAUUAGCUAGUUGGUGAGGUAAAGGCUCACCAAGGCGAUGAUACAUAGCCGACCUGAGAGGGUGAUCGGCCACAUUGGGACUGAGACACGGCCCAAACUCCUACGGGAGGCAGCAGUAGGGAAUCUUCGGCAAUGGACGAAAGUCUGACCGAGCAACGCCGCGUGAGUGAAGAAGGUUUUCGGAUCGUAAAACUCUGUUGGUAGAGAAGAACGUUGGUGAGAGUGGAAAGCUCAUCAAGUGACGGUAACUACCCAGAAAGGGACGGCUAACUACGUG